rnacentral:misc_RNA from 1 species
AACCUUAUGGACCUGCGGGCGUAUACCUGCGGAAGGAUCAUUACCAAAAAACAAGCUCUUUGCUUGGGGUCACCCCUCAAGCAGGGUUCUAAACCUUUUGUGAACCAAAAACCUUACUGCUUCGGCAGCAGGUCUGGUUGAAAGACCUGACUGUGAGCCUGCCGAUAGCAACCAAACCAAACUUGUAAUUUAUCAUGACGUCUGAUAGAACUUUUGAAUAAAAUCAAAACUUUUAACAAC